rnacentral:lncRNA from 1 species
GUGAGAAGUUUUUUAUUUAGUUGAAUUAAAUUCAAAUCUAGGUAGUGUUUUCAGUAGUUAAUAGCUUUUUUUUUGCCAUGUAGCAUUUCUUUCUUAAGGGUAGGGCGGCUUUAGUGUAUCUUAACUUCUUCUAGUGUGAAGUAAUUGGUAGCUUGAUCAAAUAUAUUUUCAGAGUUGCUUCCCCAAUACUGCCCAGAGCAAAACAUUGAUAAGAUUAUUUGUGAUCAUUAAUAUUUGAAGAUUAAAAAACGAUAUCCAGAAUACUAGAGUAGAAUAUUUGCCACACUUUGAACCAUUUAGGACCCUAAACAAAAGGAAAAAGAUAAGGGCUGCAUUCAAUCUUAUCGCAGAAGUAUCGUUAUAUAUAGCAAGCUCGAUUGAAAUUUAAAGGUUCAUUUAGACUGCAUUCGCCGUAAACACAUAUGUCGGCUCAAUCGGAAAUGACCUUUAAAUUGGAACCCGGAUUUUAAGCGAAACGGGAUGAAUCCAGCCCUUACAUGCCGUUUACACUAUUAUUGGCCGAACUCCCUUAGCCACGCCCUCAUGGGGGGUGCUAACAAACUAUCAUGUAGCUAGGUAGUGCUACAUAUCAACAGCCAUUGUCAGCCAAUCCAGUAGGGGUUGGAAGCAAUGGUGAGCUUCGAUUGGUCACUCACGUUGCGUUAACGCGGAAGGUUUUAAUAAAGUUCAGCUUUCCCCAAUUUUAGUCCCGUCCUGUUCAGCUCCCUCGCCCAUGCUCUCAUCGCUCAAUGGUCCCCCGCCCACCCGGUUUCUCUUGCUUUCCUUCCAUUGAAAGGGAAUUGGCUUCCGGUGUUUCACCGCGCGAUGCAUCCUUCUGGUGUAAACUCACCAUUCUUUAGGCUGGACCAGAUGCAGAUGAGGGGCAUGCCUUUGCCGUGCUAGUGCCGCAGUCUGUGAUGACUCCAUCGGUGGUGUCUGGCUCCUCCGUGGGCAGCAGAUGGCUUGAAGGACCAGUGGCUGGAGGAUCUGCAAGCAAGUGAUGGCAGACGGAAACACCAUCAAAGCGAGGGAUGGCAUGGCACUGCAGAGGACCCGACACCAAAGCCCUGGUCUAUUGACCAAUCCUAUCUAACACGAUGACCAGCUCAAUUCAUUAUUGAGAUGAGUAGCUCAGCUAAUACAAGUCAAAACACUAUUAACAGUUAAUCCAGUUCAUAGCAGUGAAAAUGUUUACAUUAUUUGUCAGAAACAGAUUGUUUUUGAUCAGUUCUGGCACGUACAGUAUUAGUCAUGUUUAUGGAAGUGCCAAAAGGUUAGUGCUUUCGGGGCUAUGUAUGACCCUUGGAUUUGCUGCUAGGUUUAUAAUACACUGAUGUGGGAAAUAAAGUACUGUUUUGACCCUGAA